GAUGAACGCUGGCGGCGUGCCUAAUACAUGCAAGUCGAGCGAACAGACGAGGAGCUUGCUCCUCUGACGUUAGCGGCGGACGGGUGAGUAACACGUGGAUAACCUAUCUAUAAGACUGGGAUAACUUCGGGAAACCGGAGCUAAUACCGGAUAAUAUAUUGAACCGCAUGGUUCAAUAGUGAAAGACGGCUUUGCUGUCACUUAUAGAUGGAUCCGCGCCGCAUUAGCUAGUUGGUAAGGUAACGGCUUACCAAGGCGACGAUGCGUAGCCGACCUGAGAGGGUGAUCGGCCACACUGGAACUGAGACACGGUCCAGACUCCUACGGGAGGCAGCAGUAGGGAAUCUUCCGCAAUGGGCGAAAGCCUGACGGAGCAACGCCGCGUGAGUGAUGAAGGUCUUCGGAUCGUAAAACUCUGUUAUUAGGGAAGAACAAAUGUGUAAGUAACUAUGCACGUCUUGACGGUACCUAAUCAGAAAGCCACGGCUAACUACGUG
rnacentral:rRNA from 1 species